rnacentral:tRNA from 1 species
GGCCCAUAGCUUAAUUGGUAGAGCGCCGGCCUCAUAAGCCGGAGUGUCCGGGUUCGAGUCCCGGUGGUCCCA